rnacentral:rRNA from 1 species
UACGUAGGGGGCGAGCGUUGCCCGAAUUUACUGGGCGUAAAGCGCGCGUAGGCGGCUCGGUAAGUCUGGUGUGAAAUCCCACGGCUCAACCGAGGGGCUGCACUAGAUACUGCGGGGCUCGAGGACGGGAGAGGAGAGUGGAAUUGCCGGUGUAGCGGUGAAAUGCGUUGAUAUCGGGAGGAACACCAGUGGCGAAGGCGGAUCGCUGGACCGUUGCUGACGCUGAGGUGCGAAAGCUGGGGGAGCGAACGGG